rnacentral:lncRNA from 1 species
CGCGCCGCCACCGCUGUGGACGCUGUUGCUGCUGCUGCUGCCGCCACCACCACCGCCCACGCUGCCGCCUUCACCUUCACCUUCACCUUCCCUGCUUCCCCUCCAGCUUCUUUUUGGCUCCCCUGAGCGGGGCCUCCCUACCUAAUGCAUUCCAGAAAGAACAUCUGCCAGGCCAAGCAAGUCCUGUGUACAGUCUGGCCUUGAAGGUGAAUUGGGGCAGCUGAGCUGGAGCUCACAUUCAAGGGGUAGGCAGGAAGAGGUGGGGCAGUUUUGCCUUCAUCCCUUGCUUUUUCUCUCAAGCUGUGGGACUCCCCCCCA